rnacentral:rRNA from 1 species
UACGUAGGGUGCGAGCGUUAAUCGGAAUUACUGGGCGUAAAGGGUUUGUAGGUGGCCACUUAAGUCAGACGUGAAAUCCCUCAGCUUAACUGGGGAACUGCGUCUGAUACUGCGUGGCUUGAGUGCAGGAGAGGAACGCGGAAUUCCAGGUGUAGCGGUGAAAUGCGUAGAUAUCUGGAGGAACACCGGUGGCGAAGGCGGCGUUCUGGACUGUAACUGACACUGAAAAACGAAAGCCAGGGGAGCAAACGGG